rnacentral:ncRNA from 1 species
GAGUUUGAUCCUGGCUCAGGACGAACGCUGGCGGCGUGCCUAAUACAUGCAAGUCGAGCGAACAGAGAAGGAGCUUGCUCCUUUGACGUUAGCGGCGGACGGGUGAGUAACACGUGGGCAACCUACCCUAUAGUUUGGGAUAACUCCGGGAAACCGGGGCUAAUACCGAAUAAUCUGUUUCAUUUCAUGGUGAAACACUGAAAGACGGUUUCGGCUGUCGCUAUAGGAUGGGCCCGCGGCGCAUUAGCUAGUUGGUGAGGUAACGGCUCACCAAGGCAACGAUGCGUAGCCGACCUGAGAGGGUGAUCGGCCACACUGGGACUGAGACACGGCCCAGACUCCUACGGGAGGCAGCAGUAGGGAAUCUUCCACAAUGGGCGAAAGCCUGAUGGAGCAACGCCGCGUGAGUGAAGAAGGUUUUCGGAUCGUAAAACUCUGUUGUAAGGGAAGAACAAGUACAGUAGUAACUGGCUGUACCUUGACGGUACCUUAUUAGAAAGCCACGGCUAACUACGUGCCAGCAGCCGCGGUAAUACGUAGGUGGCAAGCGUUGUCC